rnacentral:rRNA from 1 species
GACGAACGCUGGCGGCGUGCUUAACACAUGCAAGUCGAACGGAAAGGCCCUGCUUUUGUGGGGUGCUCGAGUGGCGAACGGGUGAGUAACACGUGAGUAACCUGCCCUUGACUUUGGGAUAACUUCAGGAAACUGGGGCUAAUACCGGAUAGGAGCUCCUGCUGCAUGGUGGGGGUUGGAAAGUUUCGGCGGUUGGGGAUGGACUCGCGGCUUAUCAGCUUGUUGGUGGGGUAGUGGCUUACCAAGGCUUUGACGGGUAGCCGGCCUGAGAGGGUGACCGGCGACAUUGGGACUGAGAUACGGCGCAGACUCCUACGGGAGGCAGCAGUGGGGAAUAUUGCACAAUGGGCGGAAGCCUGAUGCAGAGACGCCGCGUGCGGGAUGACGGCCUUCGGGUUGUAAACCGCUGUCGCCUGUGACGAAGCGUGAGUGACGGUAAUGGGUAAAGAAGCACCGGCUAACUACGUG